UACGAAGGGGGCUAGCGUUGUUCGGAAUCACUGGGCGUAAAGGGCGCGUAGGCGGCCUGCUAAGUCGGAUGUGAAAUCCCUCGGCUCAACCGAGGAACUGCAUCCGAUACUGGCGGGCUUGAAUCCGGGAGAGGGAUGUGGAAUUCCAGGUGUAGCGGUGAAAUGCGUAGAUAUCGGGAGGAACACCAGUGGCGAAGGCGACUACCUGGCCCAUUCUUGACGCUGAGG
rnacentral:rRNA from 1 species